CCCGCUGAACUUAAGCAUAUCAAUAAGCGGAGGAAAAGAAACUAACAAGGAUUCCCCUAGUAACUGCGAGUGAAGAGGGAAAAGCUCAAAUUUAAAAUCUGGCUGUUUUAGCUAGCAGUCCGAGUUGUAGUUUAGAGAAGUGCUAUCCGCGUUGGCCUGUGCAUAAGUUUCUUGGAAAAGAACAUCAUAGAGGGUGACAAUCCCGUCUUUGGCACAGAUCACCAAGGCUUUUGUGAUACGCUCUCAACGAGUCGUGUUGUUUGGGAAUGCAGCACUAAAUGGGUGGUAAAUUCCAUCUAAAGCUAAAUAUUGGCGAGAGACCGAUAGCGAACAAGUACCGUGAGGGAAAGAUGAAAAGAACUUUGAAAAGAGAGUUAAACAGUACGUGAAAUUGUUGAAAGGGAAACGCUUGAAGUCAGUCGUGUCUUUCAGGGAUCAAGUUGCCCUUUGGGUGACCGCACUUCCUGUUGGAUGGGUCAGCAUCAAUUUUGACCGUUGGAUAAAGGCCUAGGUAAUGUGGCAUCUUCGGAUGUGUUAUAGACCUGGGUUGGAUACAACGAUUGGGAUUGAGGAACUCAGUGUGCCUUCGUGGUUGCACUCAGGAUGCUGGCAUAAUGGCUUUAAUCGACCCGUCUUGAAACACGG
rnacentral:rRNA from 1 species